rnacentral:rRNA from 1 species
GAUGAACGCUGGCGGCGUGCCUAAUACAUGCAAGUCGAGCGAACGGAUAAGGAGCUUGCUCCUUUGAAGUUAGCGGCGGACGGGUGAGUAACACGUGGGUAACCUACCUAUAAGACUGGAAUAACUUCGGGAAACCGGAGCUAAUGCCGGAUAACAUUUGGAACCGCAUGGUUCUAAAGUAAAAGAUGGUUUUGCUAUCACUUAUAGAUGGACCCGCGCCGUAUUAGCUAGUUGGUAAGGUAACGGCCCACCAAGCCGACGAUCAGUAGCCGACCUGAGAGGGUGACCGGCCACAUUGGGACUGAGACACGGCCCAG